GAUGAACGCUGGCGGCGUGCCUAAUACAUGCAAGUCGAGCGAACGGACGAGAAGCUUGCUUCUCUGAUGUUAGCGGCGGACGGGUGAGUAACACGUGGAUAACCUACCUAUAAGACUGGGAUAACUUCGGGAAACCGUAGCUAAUACCGGAUAAUAUUUUGAACCGCAUGGUUCAAAAGUGAAAGACGGUCUUGCUGUCACUUAUAGAUGGAUCCGCGCUGCAUUAGCUAGUUGGUAAGGUAACGGCUUACCAAGGCAACGAGGAAUAGCCGACCUGAGAGGGUGAUCGGCCACACUGGAGCUGAGACACGGUCCAGACUCCUACGGGAGGCAGCAGUAGGGAAUCUUCCGCGAUGGGCGAAAGCCUGACGGAGCAACGCCGCGUGAGUGAUGAAGGUCUUCGGAUCGUAAAACUCUGUUAUUAGGGAAGAACAUAUGUGUAAGUAACUGUGCACAUCUUGACGGUACCUAAUCAGAAAGCCAGGGCUAACUACGUG
rnacentral:rRNA from 1 species